rnacentral:rRNA from 71 species
GCGACCCCAGGAUGGGC